rnacentral:rRNA from 1 species
GUGCUUGCAUCACCAAUUACCGAUCAAACCGAGUGGCGGACGGGUGAGUAACACGUGGGUAACCUGCCCUUCAGCAGGGGAUAACAUUUGGAAACAGAUGCUAAUACCGUAUAACCACGGAGACCGCAUGGUCUCCGGGUAAAAGAUGGCGCAAGCUAUCACUGAAGGAUGGACCCGCGGCGUAUUAGCCAGUUGGUGGGGUAACGGCCUACCAAAGCGAUGAUACGUAGCCGACCUGAGAGGGUAAUCGGCCACAUUGGGACUGAGACACGGCCCAAACUCCUACGGGAGGCAGCAGUAGGGAAUCUUCCACAAUGGACGCAAGUCUGAUGGAGCAACGCCGCGUGAGUGAAGAAGGCUUUCGGGUCGUAAAACUCUGUUAUUGAAGAAGAACGUGCUGUGACAGUAACUGGUCAUUGUCAGUGACGGUAUUCAAUCAGAAAGUCACGGCUAACUACGUGCCAGCAGCCGCGGUAAUACGUAGGUGGCAAGCGUUGUCCGGAUUUAUUGGGCGUAAAGCGAGUGCAGGCGGUCUUUUAAGUCUGAUGUGAAAGCCUUCGGCUUAACCGAAGAAGGGCAUCGGAAACUGGGAGACUUGAGUGCAGAAGAGGAGAGUGGUAUAUCUCCAUGUGUAGCGGUGAAAUGCGUAGAUAUAUGGAAGAACACCAGUGGCGAAGGCGGCUCUCUGGUCUGUAACUGACGCUGA